AGCAACCUACCUCCGAGUCUGGGAUAGCCCUGAGAAAUCAGGAUUAAUACCGGAUGAUGUGGCGACGAGGCAUCUCGACGCCAAGAAAGGAGCAAUUCGCUCGGAGACGGGCUCGCGGCCUAUUAGCUUGUUGGUGGGGUGACGGCCUACCAAGGCGAAGAUGGGUAGCUGGUUUGAGAGAAUGACCAGCCACACUGGGACUGAGAAACGGCCCAG
rnacentral:rRNA from 1 species